CCUACGGGCGGCUGCAGUGAGGAAUAUUGGUCAAUGGUCGGGAGACUGAACCAGCCAAGCCGCGUGAGGGAUGAAGGUUCUUCGGAUUGUAAACCUCUGUUAUGAGGGAACAAAGGCGGGGACGUGUCCCCGGAUGAGUGUACCUGAAGAACAAGCAUCGGCUAACUCCGUGCCAGCAGCCGCGGUAAUACGGAGGAUGCGAGCGUUAUCCGGAUUUAUUGGGUUUAAAGGGGGCGCAGGGGGUUUGUUAAGUCAGCGGUGAAAGCCGGGGGCUCAACCCCCGGACCGCGUUUGAAACUGGCAGUCUCGAGUUGGAGAGAAGUAUGCGGAAUGCGCGGUGUAGCGGUGAAAUGCAUAGAUAUCGCGCAGAACUCCGAUUGCGAAGGCAGCAUGCCGG
rnacentral:rRNA from 1 species